rnacentral:lncRNA from 1 species
GGUCAUUGGAGGUGGCAGCGAGAAAAAUAACUUUAAAAUACAUCAGGAAGUAGAAAUAUACAAGAUGAAAUAGCUCCAUCAAUACAUGACUGAAUAAUAUCAAUACACCAUAGAUUUUAAGAAGGAAGAAGACUUUUCCAAUCAAAGUGACUCAAGUCAUCUCAACCCCUUCUUCCCUAAAGGAGAGCAUGCAAAUAUUGACUCACAGAAUGUUGGAAGAUUAGGACCAGUUGAGAGUAUUAAACAGCUACAUAAAUUCAGCUCAAGGUGAAAGCUUUUCUGAGGUAAUGCAGAAGAAAGUCAUUUUUUUCUCCCAUUUCUUAGUAAAGAGUUUAGCAAAUAUAUAAGCCAAGAUUAAAAUUUAGCAAGGAGACCCAGGUGGUGGUAGGAAGCCCUAAGUGACUAAGUCAAUUAAGAAGAACUUGGAAUUCAGCAUAGGGAAAGUUUGCU